GUAGGUGAACCUGCGGAAGGAUCAUUAACACGUAUCCACGUAUCAACCCUUGUGCUCUCUGUUUUGGAAUGGAAUCAACUGAGGUGGGCGUGCGAAUACGCAAGUGUUCGUGCGAUUGUCUCUUUUGACUUCCAAUCUAACCUUUUUAUUAUUUUCUUUAAACCCUUUGUACCUUUCUUACUGAAACUUGAUUGUCGUUUGAUUUCGCGGCCUCACGGCCUGUGAGAUCGAAAAACAAUUAUUUUACGAA
rnacentral:misc_RNA from 1 species